rnacentral:rRNA from 1 species
AGUGAACGCUGGCGGUAGGCCUAACACAUGCAAGUCGAACGGCAGCACAGUAAGAGCUUGCUCUUACGGGUGGCGAGUGGCGGACGGGUGAGGGAUACAUCGGAAUCUACUUUUUCGGGGGGGAUAACGUAGGGAAACUUACGCUAAUACAGCAUACGACCUACGGGUGAAAGCAGGGGAACUUCGGACCUUGCGCGAUUGAAUGAGCCGAUGUCGGAUUAGCUAGUUGGGGGGGUAAAGGCCCACCAAGGCGACGAUCCGUAGCUGGUCUGAGAGGAUGAUCAGCCACACUGGAACUGGAACACGGUCCAGACUCCUACGGGAGGCAGCAGUGGGGAAUAUUGGACAAUGGGCGCAAGCCUGCUCCAGCCAUCCCGCGUGGGUGAAGAAGGCCUUCGGUUUGUAAAGCCUUUUUGUUGGGAAAGAAAAGCAGCAGGUUAAUACCCCGCUGUUCUGACGGUACCCAAAGAAUAAGCACCGGCUAACUUCGUG